rnacentral:rRNA from 1 species
CCUACGGGUGGCAGCAGUGAGGAAUAUUGGUCAAUGGACGCAAGUCUGAACCAGCCAUGUCGCGUGCAGGAUGACGGCUCUAUGAUUUGUAAACUUCUUUUAUAAGAGGGUAAUAUUAUCCACGUGUAUCUGUUUGAAUGUAUCGUACGAAUAAGGAUCGGCUAACUCCGUGCCAACAGCCGCGGUAAUACGGAGGAUCCAAGCGUUAUCCGGAUUUAUUGGGUUUAAAGGGUGCGUAGGCGGUUUUUUAAGUUAGAGGUGAAAGUUGGGGGCUCAACUACGAAAGUGCCUUUAAAACUGUAUGACUAGAGAAUGGAUGAGGUAGGCGGAAUGUAUGGUGUAGCGGUGAAAUGCAUAGAGAUCAUACAGAACACCGAUUGCGAAGGCAGCUUACCAAGCUAUAUCUGACGUUGAGGCACGAAAGCGUGGGGAGCAAACAGGAUUAGAUACCCUUGUAGUC